AGCAGUCAACAGGACCCCCUUCUGUGCCUGAGUACUUCUUAACAGGAGGCUCUGGAUAGUUUAAUGAAGACCAAACCGAAAUGAACCCAGUACCUUACAAACUAGUGACUUCAAAGGGGGCGAGCACUGAGCAUUUUUCAGCAGCAAUGGGCAUGUUGGAACAGCACGGCCAUGGGUGAUCUUUCCCCCCUUAGAAAUGGAAGAACAAGGUCCAGGAUUCCAAGCGGUCCUCAGAAGAAAUGCCUUUUUACUCCCUGCCUUCCUUAACAACUUUAAUGCCGCCACCCUCACAACACCCAGAAUUCAGGAACAAAAUUUCAGAAGAGUCUCCAGGCACCCACCUGUUUCCACUGGGGAAUCACACUCCAAAUAUAAACUGUCCAUACAGCCUCCUUCUUAGAAUGUUGAAACAUGACACCCCAGCUUGAGCCCCCCCCCCCCCCCCCGCUGGUGAGGGGCCCUGUGUGAAGGAGGCCCUUUCAGGAGGUGAGCCAGGAAACCCAUAAGGCUUGAGAACACUACUAAUGGACUUUCUGAAUUCAAAAUCUGCUUUCUCUACCAAAGAAACUAAUUCGUCGAUUGAUUAACAUAAAAUUUUAAAUCUGUGUUCAUCUUUUAAAAGACGUACAAGCUUUGGAUGCCAGAGAACUGAUUGUAAUUUAAAUAUCUGUAAAUAUUAUUAAUAAAAUAACAAUAGGAAAAAAAGUGCCAAAGAUAUAAACAAAUGUAUUCACAAAGGAGAAACAAAAGAUCGAAACGUCCAAUAAACAUAUAAAAAUCCUUGAUUUUUAAAAACAUGCAAAUCAAAACAACUGUGUUCCAGUAUGACAUCAAAGUUUGUAAAUUCAAUAAUAUUAUUGACUAUUUUGUGGGAAUAUGGAAAUGCCUAUACUCUGUUGGAGAUGGCUAUUUUAAUUCAAUCUUUUUAUGAAGGGCAAUUGGGCAAAAUCUAUUAAACAAUAAAUAUAACAGCCUAUAAUUCUUUCUUGUGGU
ensembl:processed_transcript B230119M05Rik RIKEN cDNA B230119M05 gene